GACGAACGCUGGCGGCGUGCCUAAUACAUGCAAGUUGAGCGAUGAAGAUUGGUGCUUGCACCAAUUUGAAGAGCAGCGAACGGGUGAGUAACGCGUGGGGAAUCUGCCUUUGAGCGGGGGACAACAUUUGGAAACGAAUGCUAAUACCGCAUAAUAACUUUAAACAUAAGUUUUAAGUUUGAAAGAUGCAAUUGCAUCACUCAAAGAUGAUCCCGCGUUGUAUUAGCUAGUUGGUGAGGUAAAGGCUCACCAAGGCGAUGAUACAUAGCCGACCUGAGAGGGUGAUCGGCCACAUUGGGACUGAGACACGGCCCAAACUCCUACGGGAGGCAGCAGUAGGGAAUCUUCGGCAAUAGACGAAAGUCUGACCGAGCAACGCCGCGUGAGUGAAGAAGGUUUUCGGAUCGUAAAACUCUGUUGGUAGAGAAGAACGUUGGUGAGAGUGGAAAGCUCAUCAAGUGACGGUAACUACCCAGAAAGGGACGGCUAACUACGUG
rnacentral:rRNA from 1 species